CUUUGUCUUUGGUAUUAUCUUUCUAGUUUUUCUCUCUUGCUCGCGUCUCCCACUUCUUCUUCCUCUAAACUUAAGGUUCUUUUCUGGGAUCGAGAUGGAUGGGGCGUAUGGGUCAGAGUACUUGGAUGUGUGCGUAUCUCUAAAAAAUGGUCCUCGUUUUCAAAUUCAGAAUCGAUGGACAGCAAUUGGUAUCUAUUAUUGUGGUGUGGAAUAGUGGGUGAUUUAAAAUUUUCAGUGCGAUCGUUUAUGUACCUAGAUCUCUGUGGUUUUGGUGAAAGAUAUCUUUUAUUGAAAUGUGUAUUAUGGUGAUAUUUUCUGGGUGGAGAAUAAGUCUGCCUUUGGUUUUGGUGUGAUAGUGUUUGGUACGAUUGUGUAUUAGAUUUAGCAAAAGUGUCGGAGUAAGAGUGAAUUUGAUCUUUGUGCAAUCGUUGUCUAUAGGGUGAAUUUGAGGGUUUUCUUUUGGUAUAGUUUUGAUAUUGAUGUUUGUGUUGAUCAUAGUGACGAGUGACAUUGUUAUGUUUUCUUGGUUGGAAAAGUGUUUCCAUUUC